rnacentral:tRNA from 1 species
GGCGCGUUCGUCUAGUGGCUUAGGACACCGGCUCCUCAGGCCGGAAACGUUGGUUCGAAUCCAACAUGCGCCA